GUUUGAUCCUGGCUCAGGAUGAACGCUAGCGGCAGGCCUAACACAUGCAAGUCGAGGGGUAACAGGGAAGAGCUUGCUCUUUCGCUGACGACCGGCGCACGGGUGCGUAACGCGUAUACAACCUACCUUUUGGAGGGGAAUAGCCCAGGGAAACUUGGAUUAAUGCCCCAUAGUAUGGGAAUAUCUCCUGAUAUUUUCAUUAAACAUUUAUGGCCAUUAGAUGGGUAUGCGUCCUAUUAGUUAGUUGGUAAGGUAACGGCUUACCAAGGCAGCGAUAGGUAGGGGUCCUGAGAGGGAGAUCCCCCACACUGGUACUGAGACACGGACCAGACUCCUACGGGAGGCAGCAGUGAGGAAUAUUGGACAAUGGGCGAGAGCCUGAUCCAGCCAUGCCGCGUGCAGGAAGACUGCCCUAUGGGUUGUAAACUGCUUUUACAGAGGAAGAACCACUCCCACGUGUGGGAGUUUGACGGUACUCUGCGAAUAAGGAUAGGCUAACUCCGUGCCAGCAGCCGCGGUAAUACGGAGGAUCCAAGCGUUAUCCGGAAUCAUUUGGGUUUAAAGGGUCCGUAGGCGGGCAGUUAAGUCAGUGGUGAAAGUCUUCCGCUCAACGGGAGAACUGCCAUUGAUACUGAUUUGUCUUGAGUUAUUUAUGAAGUGGUUAGAAUGAGUAGUGUAGCGGUGAAAUGCAUAGAUAUUACUCAGAAUACCGAUUGCGAAGGCAGAUCACUAAUAAUAUACUGACGCUGAUGGACGAAAGCG
rnacentral:rRNA from 1 species